AGAUUGAACGCUGGCGGCAGGCCUAACACAUGCAAGUCGAGCGGUAGAGAGGUGCUUGCAUCUCUUGAGAGCGGCGGACGGGUGAGUAAUGCCUAGGAAUCUGCCUAGUGGUGGGGGAUAACGCUCGGAAACGGACGCUAAUACCGCAUACGUCCUACGGGAGAAAGCGGGGGACCUUCGGGCCUCGCGCCAUUAGAUGAGCCUAGGUCAGAUUAGCUAGUUGGUGGGUAAAGGCCCACCAAGGCGACGAUCUGUAGCUGGUCUGAGAGGACGACCAGCCACACUGGAACUGAGACACGGUCCAGACUCCUACGGGAGGCAGCAGUGGGGAAUUUUGGACAAUGGGCGCAAGCCUGAUCCAGCAAUGCCGCGUGCAGGAAGAAGGCCUUCGGGUUGUAAAC
rnacentral:rRNA from 1 species